rnacentral:misc_RNA from 1 species
CAGGGUCUCACGACGCCCAAACCAACUGUGAACAACUCCCUAAAUCUUGCUCCGGCGGGCCGCUCGCUGGGGGAGCCUGGGCCGCCGCUUAGGUGGUGGUCCGCCGGGGCAGCAAUAUCUGAAUCUUUGAAGCUCUUCUGAGAAAAACUUUCUAAAUGAGAAAAAUCA